rnacentral:lncRNA from 1 species
UUUUGCUGAACAUUAGCCAAGAAUUUACAUGUGCAGGAAAAAGGGCAUAAUACAAAAAUAGUGUGCUAUUAGGAGAAGGAGUAAGGCUCUUGAGUCUAUGCAAUUUCCAAUGUCCAAAACUUCUGAACAAAUAUGAACCUUCUAAAGCUGAAGUAGAGGUAGUUGGCGAUCAGAGCGAAAUUCAAUGGAUUGAAAGACUUAUGUGAUGGAUUCAUUGGCAAUGCAUGCAUUGGUAAUGCUUAAGUCUUGUUAACUGAUACAGUCUGAUCACAAGGGAAUUUUAUUUUCAAGAAUGGCUCUUACUAUGUUGUGAUGUGGAAUAAUUGCUUUGGAGCAAGCAAAGUUUCACCUUUUAUAUUAAGGUUUGUUGGGUUGAAAAGGUGCAUUUGAGACUUGGGUUUUUAGACCACAGUCUGAUCAAAGUAGCAGUUGCCCGAAUUAUAUGAAAUGAUGAUCUCAAAUGUUGGUCAAUGAAAUAAUUAAGAACUUAAGAUGUUUGUCCAUGUUAGACAUAGCCAUGGUUCCCAAAGUACUUAUGAUUGUUAAGAGUGAAGUGUUUGUUUAA